rnacentral:tRNA from 1 species
GCUCCCGUAGCUCAAUGGUAGAGCGGCUGCCUUGUAAGCAGCGGGUUAUAGGUUCAAGUCCUAUCGGGUGCUCCA